rnacentral:rRNA from 1 species
AUGGACGUUGCCCCCGGCGAAGACCCUCCAGCAGACCCCUCCGGCAUGUAUUACCGCAGAAAAAGGAAGCGUUCCGACCCCAUCAAUAAUCUUUCACUUACUGGAAAUAGGGUUCACAGUUGGGGAUGUGGCAGUGUUACUGAGGAGUGGGAUCGCUUGUAUGCUCAGAGGGUCCAAUUAUUGACUUUCCUUUCGACUCUGCCCGAACCUGCUCUGAGUUAUGGGCCGAGUGCUGGAACUAAUAUGGCCAAUUCUAUCGAGCAAAGAGAAGAGAAAAAGAGUGUAAUAGUUCUUGAUUCAGAUGAUGAAGAUGAAAGCACAGGAGCACACGAACAACUGAAGCCUGAGAAAAACAAACAACUCACACCUGAGAAAAAUAAACAGCUGAUACCAUCAGAACAGGCUGGUGCUCUCAUGAGGGUGGUAACCGAGGGAAUUGAUGAAGUAAUAAAUGAGACAAUGCCUGUUAGAGACCAAAACAGUCAAAUUGUUCCAUAUAGUCCAAGUGCAACUUUAGUGAAUCAGUAUCCUGUUACCAGCUAUCAACCAUCAGCAGUUCUGUUUGAGAGAGUUAUAUUGCAGAAAAGACCUGAGGAGGAACGUAUCCAUGAUCUGGCUGUUGCUACCCAUAAGGAGAAAAUAGCAGAAACACAAGUUCUCCCUCCACUGCCUAAGGAGAGAAAAAAACGAAAAGUUGAUCCAAGCUCCCAGGUAGACGGGGAUGUUGAAAUUGUGCCAAGAAAAAGAAAAACAAAAAAUGAAGCAAAUCCAGCAGUAUUUGAUUUGCCCUCAGAACCUUACAAUCCUGUGGGGGAAGACGAGCCUGUGGAGGAAGAUGAGCCUAUGGGGGAAGAUGAACCUAUGGAGGAAGAGCAUAUACAAGAACAGGAAAGUGAUGGUCUUGAAGAAUUUUGGAAUGAGUACUCGGUGGCACUUGAAAGCUCUAAGCUCGACACACUUGAAGAGGCAGCCAAUGAGAAAGAAGUGGAUGAGAAAGAGGUGGACAACGCCUGCAAUCAUGAUAUACAGAUUCAUGAAGAUCUGGGCCAUGUAUGCCGUGUCUGCGGUUUGAUUGUGAAAAGGGCUGACACAAUCAUUGAUUAUCAGUGGAGAAAGGCAUCAAGGUCAAGAUCAUAUUUCUCUGAAAAGCGUUCAAAGGAUUCUGACGAGAUUGUCACUGGUGAUGUUAGAGUCGCUGAAGAACUCAAUGCUUUAGACAUUGCUAUUCAUCCAAGACAUGAAAAGCAAAUGAGACCACAUCAGUUGGCAGGUUUCCACUUUCUGGUCAAGAAUUUGGUCUCUGACAAACCAGGAGGUUGCAUUCUAGCUCAUGCGCCUGGUUCGGGGAAAACAUUUAUGCUAAUCAGUUUUAUUCAGAGCUUCUUGGCCAAAUAUCCCUCUGGAAGGCCUCUCGUUGUACUCCCUAAAGGUAUAUUAGGUACAUGGAAAAGGGAAUUUCAACAGUGGCAAGUGGAGGACAUACCACUGUAUGAUUUGUAUUCUGUCAAGACCAGAGCAGAGCAGUUGGAAAUCCUUAAGUCUUGGGAAGCCAAAAGGAGUAUCCUCUUGGUGGGCUACACUCAGUUCUCUUGGAUCAUUAGCAGUGACGAGGGUGGCGCCGUUGCAGCUGGAUGCCAGGAGAGGUUGCUUAAGGUCCCGAACCUACUUAUAAUGGAUGAGGGCCAUUUACCUAGGACUGAGUCAACUAAUGUGCUAGAAUCACUGCAGAGAGUACAAACUCCACGUAAGGUGGUCCUAUCUGGUACACUUUUCCAGAAUCAUGUCUCAGAAGUGUUCAACAUUGUAAACCUUGUACGCCCAAAGUUUCUCAAGAAGGAUUCAUCUCGUCCUAUCGUUGCUCGUAUAAUGAGUCAAGUGUCAAUAUCAGGUCGCAGGAUUUCAAAAGAAGACACUGAUAAAUUCAAUGAGUCGGUAGAAGAGACCCUGCUGCAUGAUGGUGACUUCACGAGAAAAGUAAAUGUCAUUAGAAGUCUCAGAGAACUAACAAAAGACGUGCUUCACUACUACAAGGGUGAUAUCUUGGAUGACCUACCUGGCCUUGUAGACUUCAGUGUCUUCUUGAAACUCAGUCCUAAGCAGAAAGAAAUCGUUCACAAGUUGGAAGCCUAUGAGAAGUUCAAAAAAAAUGCAGUAGGAACCGCCCUGUACAUGCAUCCAUGUCUGUCUGAAAUGUCAGAAGUUGCAGCGGCAGACAGGGCUUCCAACUUGACGGAUGCAGCUGUUGAUAGUCUGGUCCAGUCUAUCAACGUGGCCGACGGUGUGAAGGCCAGAUUUUUCACCAAUAUCCUGGCACUUGCGGAAUCUGCAGGAGAGAAGGUCCUUGCUUUCAGUCAGUACCUACUUCCCAUGAAAUUUUUGGAAAGGCUACUGGUUAAGACAAGGGGCUGGCAUGUAGGAAAGGAGAUGUUUGUGAUCCGUGGUGAUAGUAAAUGUACUAUGGAAGAAAGAGAACUGACAGUGGCUCAGUUUAACAACUCUGCUGAUGCAAAAGUCCUGUUUGGCUCUAUCAAGGCAUGUGGGGAGGGCAUCUCCCUGGUGGGCGCAUCGAGAGUGGUCAUUCUAGAUGUUCACUUGAACCCCUCCGUUACCCGUCAGGCAAUCGGGCGGGCAUUCAGGCCUGGACAGCAGAAGAAAGUGUUUGUCUACAGGCUCGUAGCAGCUGACUCUCCGGAGGAGAACACCCAUAAAACUGCGGUCAAGAAGGAGGUGAUACCGAAGCUGUGGUUUGAAUGGAGUGAGCAGCGCUGCACGUCGGAGGGCUUCCAGCUGAACGAAAUCGACAUCGACGACUGCGGGGACGAGCUGCUGGACAACAGGGCAAUGCGCCAGGACAUCAAGGCCUUGUACGCAAGGUGA